AAAUCUGAGAUGAUAGGAAGCAAGUGAAUGAGAGUUGAUUUUUAAACCAUGAGACAAAUGUGUUACACUUUCUGAGACUU
rnacentral:sRNA from 1 species